rnacentral:rRNA from 1 species
GAUGAACGCUGGCGGCGUGCCUAAUACAUGCAAGUCGAACGAACAGAUGAGGAGCUUGCUCCUCUGCCGUUAUUGGCGGACGGGUGAGUAAAACGUGGUUAAUAUACCUAUAAGACUGGGAUAAUUUCGGGGAACUGGCGCUGAUAACGGAUAAUAUAUUGAACAGCAUGGUUCAAUAGUGCAUGACGGUUUUGUCGAAACUUAUAGAUGGAUCCGUGCCGCCUUAGCUGGUUGGUAAGGUAACGGCAUAACAAGGCAGCGAUGCGUAGCCGACAUGAGAGGAGGAUCGGCCACACGGGAAGAGAGACACGAUCCAGACCCCUGCGGUAGGCAGCAGUAGGGAAUCUUCCGCAAUGGGCGAAAGCUGGACGGUGCAACGCCGCGUGAAUGAUGAAGGUCUUCGGAUCUGAAAACUCUGUUAUUAGGGAAGAACAAAUGUGUAAGUAACUAUGCACGUCUUGACGGUACCUAAUCAGAAAGCCACGGCUAACUACGUG